rnacentral:lncRNA from 1 species
UUUUUUUUUUUUUUUUUUUUUUUUUUGUCGACGGAGUGGGGUGUCCGGGUCAAGUCCGUAAAGGCGGCCCGACUAAUCCCCACUCCGGCCCGGUCUAGCGCCCCAACCAGACCCAGCACGUUAGAUGCACGGCGAACUGAUGUUGCUGCGGAGCUUCGACCCCAGGACCUAACGGUCCCGAGGAAGAGGCGCCAACCACCAGCCCAUUCACGUGGGGGCUAGUAGGGAGUUUGUUAGGCGGAGAAUUUCGACAUAGAAAACUUUUUUUUUUUUUUAGGGAUCCACAUAGAAAACUUGCUAACCUUUUUCCUUGUCGUGUAUCCAUUUUACACAGUUUAUAGGGCCAUAUUCCGAACUCUAUGGCAAACAUGACAGUAGCUCAAAUUCAACGAGCAAUUGGAGAUGCCAGGAACGAUAACCAUGUAGCCAUCAAAAUGGCAAUUGUACAAGUCUUGACAUGUAGAAAAAAAAAAUCAUUAUCCACUUAGAAUUUUCCCUGUACUUUCAGCCAAUCUCCAACCACAAAUCUGCCCAAACUACCAACAAAUUACUCAGUUGUUUUUACUUGAAGUGGCAGAGCCAUCUCAUUACGAGAGUAACAACUCAUAUAGAUUGGCCUACUCUCAGAACUCUUCACAUGUGAAACAGGAGGUGCACAGGAAAAAUGGGUACAAAAGGACCGUGGUCAUUAACGGACAAUUUUGUCUCCCAGCUAGAUAUAUAAUGUCCCAUUUCCAUUUAUCAUGUUCUUGAACCAGAGAAAUCAUCAAGUCUCAAAUAAACACAUAUAGAGUAGGAUUCAUUCUUACUGUUAUAUUUUUUAUUUAACUUUCAUCUUGUACUUGUUUAUUUUAAUUAUGGUACAAGGAAAAAUUUGAAUAAGCAUUGUAUGACUAGUUAGAUUGAGGCUAUGAUAUGAGAAACUUGAAUAUGGGUUUUGUAAACUACUGUUGGGGAGAAAACCCUGAGAACCAAAUAAAGAGGUCCAAUAUAUGAAUACUCAUAUUACACCCAAGUUACUUCCCUAGUCCACCGUAAUACUCAAGGCAAAUUCAACUAUUUGGAGCUAAAUCGUGGACCCUAUUUUCUUCAACACGUUAAUAGAAUCCCCGUCAAACCCCUAGUUCCAAGAUACACCAACUAGACUUAACAUAUUACUGGCUGCAUGGCCCAACAUAGGACAAUAACAAUUUAUCCGUCCGACAAAAAGAUAGCAAUUUACUGAUCUAUUAUUGAGAAGAAACAACUUGCGAAUAUGUAGCCUAGACUCAAACUCGAAACCCUUUUUAUAAAGUGUAAAAUAAAAGAUCACAAAUUUAGAAUCUCUCACUUACACUCUCUUCUUCUGUACUAUUCAAUUUAUCCCUUUCUUAUAACUCAAAAACUUUGAUACCGUUGGUUGAGAAAAAAAAUUCAAAGAGCUGAGAGCCCAUCAUAGGGGCUUAAAAUAUUUAGGAGCCUAAUGCCGAUGCAAAAGGUUAAAUUGAUAGGUCUUAAACCCUUAUCUAUAUAUUAAAAACUCCUUUUUUUUUCUCUAAAAAUAAGGUAGGAUAACUAAUUUUACUCAUGAACCUAAAAAUUGUUCAAUUUGAUGGAGCUGGAAAUGAACUUCCCCAGUUAACUUAGUCUAAUGUCUAGUUGACUCAUGAGAUGUGUCCAGUUUCAUUACUUUGGAACUCCAACAUAAACUUACCAUGAUCACUUCAGAAGAAAAUAUUAUAUAUGAAUAUCCUCCAAUAGCCACUUUCCUCCUUAAUUCAAACAUAGACUUCCUUCCUUUAGCUAAUACACCUCUCUCUAUAAUUCAGACCCCAUUCCAGCAUCUAGGAGGAAUAUUCCACCAAAAUGUGAACCCCAAAAAAAAAACAAAAACAAAUAUGUAAUAGACUCUUAGGUUAAUGUGGUAUGGCUGAUGAAGCCAGUAAUAUAUACAACCACACAAUUGAAGAUAAGAGUUGAUGGUUCGGGAGGCAAUGAUCAUUUUAUGGACGAGAUGCGAGUAAAGUUGCGUGUAAUGUCCGGCAAUUAUAGCACGACUUUUCAUGUACUGUUGUCCUACUCUAGUUUUGUUCGGUAUGAAAUGGUAAACGAUUUCAUCUCAGGAUUUUUGUCUAAAGAACGUCAACGUCUAAACAGCUGCAAAGCAAUUUACCAAUUUAGCAUACAAUAACCCUUCGUGCAAUUUAGCAUUUAACCUAUUUCCAAAGCACCAUUAAAUCACUAUCAGUUUCCUUCUUUAAUUGAUUUAUGUUGGCAAUCAUUUCUUUAGCUUAAGAAGUUCCUUGUUUAAAAUCUUUUCCAUCUCUACAACUGUCCUUGCAGGAAUGUGAUGCAGUGGCAGAAGAUUAUUUCUUUGCAUACCCUGACCAGGUCACCUAAAAUAAAUGUACAGACUGAUUUUAUUUGGGGUUACAAAUUUGUAUAUUAUUUGGUUGAAUGGCUACCCACAUCAAAGUAUUCAGAUUAUAUUAAGUUCAUAAGUUCACAAAAAAUAUCCAAAAGAUUAAGGGAGAAAAAAUAUCCAAAAGAUUAAGGGAGUCAUGGAUUUGAUGAAUGUCUGAUAAGAGGUGGCAAUUAUACCCAAAAUCCAACAACCCACCCAACCCACCCACUAAUUUAAGAGGUUGGGUUGGGUAAAUUGGGUGUUGGGUUAAUUUUGGAUUGGAUAAUAAAAACCCACAUAUAUUUUGGACGGUUUGGGUAAUUAAGUUGGGUACCCAUUACCCAACUUAAAAAAACAAUGGAGGCCUCUCGUCUGAGAAUUUUCAAUCCACCACCGUUUUCUCAACUUUAAGCAUUUUGGCACAUUCUUGUCAACUGCAUCGGGCUUGCUGUUUUUUUUUUUUUUUUUCCCUUUAAGACAGCAGACUUGCAAGUCUAUACACAUCUUGUUCCUUUACUAAUUGGUUUUAGGAUUGUGAAGAUUACUGUUCAACUGCAUGUUAAUGUACAUAUACAUAUUUUUUUCCAUUGUUAUCUUUUGGAUGGGAAGAUUCUAUUAGCAACUCGUGUUUUUAAGCAUUUACUAGUCCCUAAAAAAUCUAGCAAAAUAUGCAGGCAAAUUUUUAAUUGCUUUCAUAAGUUGCUCAAUUAUUAAUUAAAAUUUGUCAAUUAGAUCAUUCAUGGGUCCAAUUUUCUUUCUUCUUCGUCUUUUUUUUUCCUUUUUUGGCCCUUGACAUGAAGGUUUAUCACAAGACAAGAUUGAUAUUCAACCACAAUAAUUGUGUAAAAAGUGCAAAGUGAGGUUAUUUAAUAGUAAUGAAUAAAAGGAACCCAAAAGUCACAAAUCUCAAAUGAAUUGGAUGGUGAUAUUUGAACUAAUUGGUUGAGAAUUGUAUCUCUCUUAUCAAGUUUCAAUUUAAUUAAGGCGUGAUUGGAUCUUGUUUAAUAUUGGUAUAACAUUUUUUCAUGCUAUAUUCAACUUGGACCAAAAUUAUUUUAGUGUGUGAAAAUGUGUUUAUGUGUGUGAAAAAAAAUUUUUGUAUGCAAAAAUAUAUUUGAGAGAAUUUAUGUAUCAAAAUCUAUUAAUUAAUAUAUUGAGUCAUAUUUGGGUCUUGGGUUUAAGAUGACCCAAUGUAACCCAACCCAAAAUUAACCCGAUUUAAAGUUGGGCGAGUUGGGUAUAACCCAUUUAAGUAAAAACCCAAUAUCAACCCGUCCAACCCGUCCAAUUGCCCGGUAUAUCUGAUAUGAAUCUUGGGUUGACUUGGUUUAUUAUCAUAUUAAAUUUCACUUUUAGACACUUUCUGCUCUUAAGACCUUCAAAUUUAUUCCAUUUAAAUUCAAUCCAUAAUAUUAUUAACAAGACUAACAGAAUAGGGAUACAGUGCAAAUCAAUAACAAAUUGAUGAAUGUGGUUAGAAAGAGUAAGGGGAUCGUAAUUGGAACAAAAUUAUGCAUUCAUACGUACACAAAGCAUAAAACAUGAUAAUUAUUCAUUGCUGUAAAAAGUGAAAGCGGUGGUUGUUUAACUUAGUAAUUUAACAUUAAACAAGAAAAAGAAGUACAACUUCUGAACAAGUCUUUGGUACAUCACGUUUUGCAGUUACUCAGACACUCAACAACAACUCAACAGUAAAAACAGCAAAAUGUAAAUAGUUAUUAAGCAGGUAGACCCUGCAAGACUCUUCAUUUGAUGAAAAUUCUCCACGUUCAAAGUUGAGCUAAGCGACUUAUGUCAAUUGGAUAUGCAUCUGAUGACUUUUGAGCCCUGUAUGAUCUUCUCCCAACUAUGAUAUUUGCAGCUUCAGUUGGAUGAAAUGCAUCCCAAAAUAGAUGCUGAUUUCUGUUAGGACAUGGAGUUUGAAAAGGAAGACAUGUUAUCUGGCCAUUGUUUCUCCCAACUCCACAGCAACCUCUAUUUGUCACAGUGAAACCUGCGCAGAAAAUUAAAUAUAAUUCGAAACCAGCUAGAUGCAUUUUCCAACCCCCUCCAAGAGUUGAAUUUUCGUAGUUAACAUAACAUUUUGAAUUUUUUAAAAUUUUUAUUUGUGAAGUAAAAAAUUGCAUCAACUCAAACAAUAAAUGUGCAAAUAAAUUUCUAGGAGAAAUGGCAUGGAAGUUACCAAAAGCAGAGGGACUGCUGAUUAAAUCCUGGAAAAUCCCAUAAGCAUCAAUGUAGAUAAAUCUUGCAUCAGUGAAUUGAUUGUUCAAGGUGUCCACUAAAGACUUAAGUUUGCUAUUGAACAUCUGAUUUGCCGAGUUGAUUCUGGCCACACAAGUUCUGCCAUCCGGGCUAUUUUGGGCUAAUUCAUUUGGACUGCAUCCAAUUUGACCCACUCCGAUCAAAACAAGCUUCCUUGCUCCAAGGUUAUACAAUCUCUAUCGACAAUCAUAAACAUCAAAAUGUCAAACUUAGAACUUAAGAAAGAAAAAAGUAAGAAAAAAAAAAUAAAGGAACACUUCUAUUCUAUGAAAUAUGAAUAGGGCUUGUAAUGAACUUUAAGAGGAAAAAAAAAGAGAAGGAGGAAAUACAUGAAAGAGUAAUUAAAUGAAAGAAAGGAUAAAUGAAAAACCAACAAGAACUUUUAAAAGUUAGCACUGCUUCUCGAUCAUUAAUUUUCCCUUUUUAGUAAAUUAAAACAAACAGGUGGCUAAGCAGACUGCGUUUAAGUUAUUUUAUUUUAUUCUAUUUUUCUGUUUGUUAGUCUUCAUAGUGCUUUAAAAGAUUUGUUCACAGUUCCUCAUUUCCAGCUCAUAAUUAAUAUCACCUAAACUAUUGUCCUUCUGCCCAAGUCAAAAGGGAGGUUGGUCGAUUGGUACAACAUUGGAAAAAACACCCUUAGAAUACGACUAAGCAAUAAAUACAACUAGCUUUUGUUCAAGGAGGCAGAGACUUCUGAAACAAAUUGUGCGUGAAAUUGUCCAAGAAAUUAAUUCCUCAUGCUGUCAUGCAUGGUAGCUUUUGCUACAGCAUGAUGAUCAGAAGUCGAAGGAGACUAGAAGAGUGCAAUUACAUCUCUAAGAAUGACAUAAUGUACAUCAGACACCUCAUUUCUUUGCCUUUUCAUUUCUUUCUGUCCUCUUGCCUUUUUUUUUUUCCCUUCGUCAUUUAUCUCCAUAUAAAACAUAGAGUUACUUAAAUUCUCUACCCAAGCAUGCAUCAGCAAAUUUUUUCUCUAUCUCAUCACAUGAUAUGAUAUAUGAAUGGGAUAAUUAAAAAUUUUAGUCAUGGAAAAAUAUGAGUGUCUCACCCUUAUUUGUUGAGAAUACUGGCCAAUAAGAGCAUUAGCAAAUUGCUCAGGUGUGAAUUGUCUGCUACUUGAGUAGAAUAGAGGCAUGAAAUAAUUGUUAAGAUAGUCAUUGCUGCCAAGUCCAACUGAAUAUAUGCAUUUGCUAAGGUAAGCUGCAGCACGGUUUUGGUCUCCAAGUAAGCUCACAAUUUGAGAAACUGUGUUGUUGUAAUUAUUCACCUGCCCAGUAAAACUAGUUCUGGCACCCUAUAUGAGAGAAUUCAUCAGCACCUUCAUAUGCAUGUAGACCAAAAAAAAAAAAUAAUGUAGUUGUCAAAAACAAAGUAAUCUUUUGUAGUAUUACCAAUUGCUGGCCAGUUUCUUCUCUAAUUCCAGCAGCAGCUGAAGCAUAAUUUACUCCUUUGAGUAUGUCUUGGCCCUGGGCUCUUGUGAAGGGUCGAAUAUAUCCAUUGAAUCCCAGUAGCUCAGCUGAUGAUGAAGCAAACACAUUGAAUAGGAAUAAUCAAAAUGAAAAUAACACAUAAAUUAAAAUAUACGUGUGUGUAGAUUAAUACAUGUGUGUGUAUAUAAAAAAAAUGUUAUUUGCAUUCCUAUUUUUGUUAAUCACACUCUCACUAUCAUUUUAAUCAUAUAACUUUCAUUUAUUAAACUAUAUCAUGAUAAAAUAAAAUAAAAAUUGAGUGUAAUGUGUGUGUGUGUGAGUGACGGAACUAAAAAAAAAAUUAACUAGUAUACAAAAUCGAUAUUGUAAAAAAAAAAAAAAAAAAACCUUUAGACUGCUACGAGAAUUACCCAACAUCACACUAUAUGCAGUAUGUUUCCAAAUUUUACUUGCUAGGCAGAUAUUGCAGUAUCUCGAAAACGUUCUUGCCAAUGCGGAAAAUAUACGUAGUAAAAUAUAGUAUUACGUGAGACCAUAAAGCGAAUACUUUCUUUGACAUGCAAUUAGUAAACAACGAAGAACAUGUAGUCAUUAACCGCUUGAAAAUGAUAGUCAAGAGAAUAUGCACAAAAGCAGCUCAUCAUUAGAUGUGACAAGUUCGACGGAUAUUUGCUAAUUCUUCGAAUGUAUAUGUUAUGACUGCAUGUUCAUGGUAAUCUUAUUUUUAAUAUUGUCAAUAUGAAGUUGACCUAAUUUCAGAAUUAGGAAGCUGAUAAAUAUUACCUUUUAAAUAAAGAGAAAGUAUAGAUAUAUACGACCAAUCGAGCAACAAAUUAGUGAGAGAGUAAGAGAGAGGGGUUCAAAACUCACUUAUAACAUCAACGGUGGUUUUUCCAUUACAAAACCUUCCAGUUGGUCCACCAGGAAAAUCGAUUCCAUAGGGCAAGUAAUUAGCUUUAGCCAAAGAAUUGAUAUUGUUGUUGUUACCAUUGUCCACCAGGGAAUCUCCAAAAAUAAAGUAACAUGGAACCUGGGGCUGUGCUAAAACCCGGUUCGGCACCACCACCACCACCAUCACAACAAACCCCACCAAGAAUUUCUUGAACUCAGCCCCCAUUUGCAACAUAUUUUAGAAUAAAACAAAAGGGAGUUCAAAGAAUUUUGUAGCUAAAAAAAAAGGGCUAGUACUAAAAGGUGGUGGACUCCUUUUAGCUAUUGAGUGAUGAAAUUCUAGGAGCAUCAAGUGUGUUAUUUAUACACAUAUUUUAAGGUCAGACUUGAAAGGCUUGGCAAUCAAUUAAUAGGUGUGCAGCAGUUAGUUCUGGGAAUCAAUCAGUCAAGCAAUUAACUUUUAUGGGUGAGAAGUAACGGUGCAUUAAAUUUAACGCGGAUAGACUUUGAGUUUCUUUACAGUUUACACUGAUGGCCAAACAGAGUUAGUUUGAAAUGGUCGUCAAUUUGACAAUCGCCCCUUUUGUCUGCGCCGACGACACAAUUCGUACUGCUGCUUGCGAGCGCCAAAGAAGUCGGUACAAGCAUACUUAUAAAGUCCCUCCCGGUCGAGUCGGCCAACCCGAUUUAUCCGGUAGGAUCGAAUUGAUCACUAAUUAGGUGAGUUAAGCAAUAGAUUCAUCUGAUCAACGAUUCAGCGGUUGGAUCACCGAUUUAAAAUAUUGAUUAUUUUUAUAAUUUAAAAUAUAUUAUUAUAUUAUAUAAUAUAACUAUUGUCCAACCUGCGGUUGAACUGGAUCACCUCUUUGGAUCGAGUUUCGAGUCGGGUUUAAGAGUACAAGGUCCAUUUUCCCAAAGAAGUUUUAUCGUUUUGGGCCUCGUUUGUUAGUUUAGGCGAGAGAGAGCUUAAAUUGCGAGAUAAAUAUAAUUUGACUUUGAAUUAUUCCAAUCAGAGUUAAUCUACUUAAAUAGUUUGGGACAUUUGCAGAGAGAAAUUAAUUUGAAUUUAUGAGUAUUACAGUUUUCUUCUUGAAAGUUUUAUGGACAAGGUAACUUUUCUUUCAUUUCUCUUCAUUUUGCAAAAGACGUUUUUAGUUAUUUUUGCAUUCCAUUUCUUCCUAUACUCUAGAAUAUUUACUUUAUUUUGUGCUUCCAACUAGUGUAGGAUAAAAUUUCACUAUCAUUAAUUAUAGAUGCACUCUUACUUUAUAGAUGACACAUUAAUUCUUAAAGUAUAAAAUCCAUCCCACUUUAAUUAUUAAACUUUGAGCGUCACUUGCCUACUAUUAUGUUAGUUUUGACAAUCGGUUUCAUAUUUUAAGGGAUAAAAUAUCCAAAGUUGAAGUUUAAGAACUAAACUCCGAUUUUACACUUUAGAAAGUAAAGAGCUCAAAAUUAAAACUAACUUAAAAAUUAAAGCGGGAGUGCAUCAAUAGCUUUAAAGUGGGAGUGCAUCAAAAGGUUUGCUACAUCUGUUCGUAAAAAUUAUUUGGAUUUGUCUUGUAUUCAAGAUAAUUUAAAACGAACACAUUUAUGUUUACUUGCAAAAUUAAAAACAAUUUCUCACUUCUCCAGUUCACAAGGAAAGACAAACAAAACAGAAACGACUUAAAAUUCAUAAUCACAAAUAAAAAGACUGAUGGGUCUAGUUUGCACGAGAGCUUUGAGCACUACAUUUUAUAAACAUCUAAGAAUACAUAUCGAAAUCCUAUCUGAUGCUUCCUCGGUCAUAAUUCAUAAGUCGCCAAGUAUCUGAUUCCCAUCAAAGCAGCAGCCAAAUUCCUGGUUGAACUUUCGACUUGAUUUCCGAAUAAGGUUGUUAAACUUGGACCAGUAAGUGAUCUAAUGGAAUAUCGAGUUGUGACUUUAACCAGUUCAACCAAUUAAACUGGUUGAGUAACCGCAACACCUUUUUUUAUGUAUUUUAAUAUUUGUUGUCCAUGGAUUUUUCUCAAAUAAUGGAUUUUUCUCAAAUGACAUAAUGUUGGACAACAGAUUACUUAAAACUACAAAAGUGUAUAAGCUAAGUUUCAAAUUUACCUAGUACUAACAAAACAUAGAAUAUUAAUGUAAUUAACUAAAGAAAACUAAGCAAUUUCGAAAGUAGCACUGAUCAAUUAUUAACAAAAGCAUAUAUUUGUAUACGCUUACUGCACAUAUUUUUUAGUUUUUAUAAUUUUAGCCCUCAAAUUAUUAAAUUUUCAUACUUUUAAGUUUUAACCCUUCAAUUUAUUGUAUGUAUAUGUUUAACCCUUGAACUCUAAAAACACAUCUAAUCUGACCUUCCCAUUAAUUUGAAUUGUUAAGAGCAAAGGAACCGCUUCAUACAUAGUAUGCAGGCAAAACUUGAAGGUCUAAUAAAUUAACAUGGUGAAAGAAAUAGUUCAAAAUUGGGGAUUUAUCAUUUAAUACAAAUAGGACCAAAUAAAUCAUAUUUUUGCAAUGCCAAUGACAUAAGAAAUUUAAAGUUGACACCAAAUGAGUCUUGGAAUAGCCAAAAAAAUAAUGAUGAGAGUCCAAAAUUCUAUUGUUAAAAUUUAGAUGAUUUCAUUUCAAAUUUCAGUUUUAUCAAACGCACCUUAAAUUUUAUUCAAUUGUCCCCUGCAGAGCACAUAAUUGUAUGUGUACACAGUUGUUAAGGAUAUCAUCUCUAUAUACGGUGUGAACUAUGUGUAGAGGUUUGAUGUGAUAGUGCUUGGCGUUUGAUUUUAAGACGUAAUACUUGAAUUUUUGGAUUUCAGUCCUUUCUGAUAAUAAGUAAUGACUAGCAUAUAUUCAAAUAUGUCUAGAAAUUAGGCGCACAGAUUCUUAUACAUCAUAGUCUAGAUAUAAUUCGUUUCCUUUGUUUUUUUAAAUGUGCUGCUUUGAAAUUUGAAAGAACAAAUUCAACAUUUUCCUAAAACUAUAAGAAUGUCAUGGCGACAGUAGACACUAGCCCUUUUUAACACUAAGCACUUUUGUUAUAGUUAAGUUUAGAAUGACAUGGAAAACGAUGUAGAUAUAGUUUUUUAAAUUUAAGGGAUUUGAAUAAUUUUCUUCCGAAAAGGAUCAAAUGCAUGGGACAAGUGUUGAGUUGUAGAAAAAUAUAUUUAUGACUUAAAAAUACAUUUUUAUAACCAACAAUUACAACGAAAACCUUAAGCUAGAGCAGUAGUAUGCCAUCAAUCAUCUCCUUUGACUCUAAUUAAUUGAAGUUUACAUCUUCAAAGUUGAGCUAAGCGACUUAUGUCAAUUGGAUAUGCAUCUGAUGACUUUUGAGCCCUGUACGCUCUUCUUCCAACUAUGGUAUUGCCAGCUUCAGUUGGAUGAAAAGCAUCCCAAAACAGAUAUUGAUUUCUAUUUCGACAUGGAGUUUGUAAAGGAAGACAUGUUAUUUGGCCAUUGUUUCUUCCAACACCACAGCACCCAACAUUUACGACAGUGAAACCUACACCAGGAAAAAAAGGGCGAAAAUACAGCAAUGUCAAUUACAAAUAUAUACUUUGAACCAUUUUUGUUCUAUUUCAAAAAUUCUGCUAAUUGUCUAUUUUUGGUCAAAAACGAAAACACUAAUCACCAAAUUUUUUUCCAUUGAAAUUUUCAAGACCAUUUAAUACAAUGCUCAAAUUUUUUAUCAAGGGCAUCACAAGUUGAGUUUCGUGUUGUUCAAACCAAUUCAUGUAAUUAUUACUAUAUUUAAUAAAAAUUUGAACAGUUUUUGUAUAAUCGCAAACAUAGUCGUAUGUAUUCAAAAGUUCAAGUUUAAGCCCAAUUGUAUGAGUUUACACCAAAAGUUGUGAGAAUUACGUGAAUUGAUUUAAACCGGAUAGAAUUCAACUUGUGAGGCCCUAAUCCUCAAACUUUAGGUUUGAAACUGUGAUUUUCUCUUUUAAACUACAUCCUUAAUAGUUAAUUUUAGAAAGUAAUGUGUACAAUACCAAAGCUACUGUCUAUUUUAUAAAUACAUGAGACGAAUAUCAGCACGAAAUAUUGAAGUAAAGAAUGAUGAUGCUGAGAAAACUGCAAUAAUAAUUUCAGAAACUGUAAGGAGGCUUAUGACCACAAAUCUCAUGAAAGAUUAAAAGUUACCAUUCUUUGUCUUCAUUGACAUCAUUUCAUAAAUGGAAAUUACUCUAUCUAGCAAAGGACAAUCAGAAAAAUAUCAUUUUCUAGGAAAAAUGGCAUGAGAAGUUACCAUAAGAAGAGGGACUGUUGAGUAUAUCCUGGAAAAUGCCAUAAGCAUCGAUGUAGAUAAAUCUUGCAUCAGUGAACUGGUUGUUCAAGGUGUCCACCAAUGCCUUGAGUUGGUUAUUGAACAACUGAUUGGCAUUAUUGAUUCUUGCUACACAGGUCCUUCCAUCUGGGCUAUUUUGGGCCAAUGCAUUUGGGCUGCAGCCAAUUUGACCCACUCCAAGUAGAACAAGCUUCCUUGCUCCGUAGUUGUACAUUAUCUGCCGUCACAAGUGUGUCAAAAAGUCAAAAUUUGGGAAAGUGCAUUCAAAAAAUUGUGGAAAAAAAGUGGUUUACUACUCUCUUUUUAACUAAAUAAUUUUGAUCUACUGCAUUUUUCCUAUUAGUCAUUAAAGUAAUUAAUGAUAAAUUUAAAAGUAAUUUCCUGCCUCUCUUUUUAGUUUUACUUUUUCUGUUGGCCAUAAAAAAAAAAUCUUUUCCAAAAAAAAAAUGGAGAUCAAAAGAAAAAGAAAAGAGUGGUAUUGAAAAAUACCAAAAUUUUGGCAAUUGGGAAAAAAAAUAUUAUUUUACACUAUAUUCUUAACUAAACUAGUCUUUGCCCUCUCUUUUUUCUUAGAGAACUCAGCCCUCCCAUUUUUACAGUUAUCUAAUUUUUUCCCCCAAGUUUUUAAUUUUUCGCUUCUUGCAAAAACGUAUGCGUUAUUUCUUUCAUGGUGCUUAUAUGCAUAAUGGUUAUCUAGUAGGGUCAUAGGUCAACGUCCCCCCCCCCCCAAAAAAAAAAGUAAGAUACAUGCAACCUUUCUCUACUUUUUGCCAAAUUAUCAUGGUAAAGAAACAAAUGAUAGAUGCACAUGUAAGGGAACCUACUGUUGAAUAAGAAGCUGAGCAAAUUGAAAUGAGAUUCACUUACCCUUAUUUGCUCAGCAUACUGUUGAAUAAGAACCUGAGCAUAUUGCUCAGGUGUAUACUGCCUGCUAGUUGGGUAUAUAAGAGGCAUGAAAUAAUUGUUGAGGUAGUCAUUGCUUCCGAGUCCAACUGAAAAUAUGCACUGGCUUAGGUAAUCUGCAGCAGCAUUUUCAUCUCCCAGUAUGUUCACAAUUGCUCUCACUGUGUUUAUGUAGUUCCUCACUUGUCCAGAAAAGCUUAUCCUUUGACCCUAGUUAUAUUAGAAAAAUGGUUUGAUUGAAAAAGGGAAGUCAUAUUUCAUAUGGUAUUUGAUUAAUUAACAAAGACAACAAAAUUGGAAAAUAUUUGAAAAAUGGUUAGUUUUGUACCAACUGCCUUCCAGUUUCCUCUCUAAUUCCAGCAGCUGCAGAAGCAUAAUUUACUCCUCUAAGUAUGUCUUGGCCACGAACUCUUGAAUAAGGUGGAAUAUAACGGUCGAAGCCCAAUUCCUCAGCUGCCCAUAGAAAUAAAAAAAAAAAAAAGAUAUUAGUCAGACAAUUUUUAUUACUACAAGACAAACUGAAUAUCAAAAGACAGAUUCACAAACACAUGGAACAACAUCCCAUGUUUACAACAUCUAUGAAAUGUCUAGAGGAUUUUUUUCUUUUUGUUUUAUUCAUAGGCAGAAUUAUAAAAUUUCUUCUGAGGGAGUGAACUUUAAUUCAACUAAUCUUUAAUUUGAAAUAUUUUUAAUUUUUUUGGGGCAAAAGUUUAACUAUACAUAAAUUUUUUUAAAAAAAAUUCAACUUUUCAAGAGAGAAAAAAUUAAUUUUUCAAAACUUUCUUGAGAGAAGGGGGGGGGGGGUAGGUGCAAGAACCCCUCCCCGCCACUCCCUAGUUUCGCUCAUGAUUUUACUAUUAUGGAUCUUCUGGUCCAAAAUUUACUUGGUAGAUUAGUGAAGUAAGUAAUUGAUUACGUGACACGGUACACAGUGCCAUUUACAUUUAAUGAUGAGAAAGGCAUAGAUUGAAUUAAAUGUUGACAUGAUUACGUGGAUGAAUAGGUUUAAUGACUGCCUCGAGAUGCAAUUGGAUAAUAAAAGUAGAACAUGCAGACAGCAGUCAUGCACUGUUCGAAUGGAUGGAAGAGACUGUGACACUGAAGGAGCUCGUGAAAUAUUAGAAGAAAUCUUGUUUUUUUUUUAAAAUUUUUGUGGCUAUUUAUUGGGGAUACUAGUAUAGAUCUCAUGACAUGCAACUAUUAUAGGGCAUCAAAAUAAUGACAAAUCUCAUUCUAGACUUUUCUCAUGGUAUAUAGUAGAAAGAUGCUACAUUAGGGAGUCAAAAAAUUUGAAUCGAAGAACUUAAGAAAGGAUGUUUGCUCCGUAGAGAUGAGGAUUGGAAAUGCCUACAAGUUUCAGAUUAGGGGGAAAAAAAAUGACGUUAUGCUUGGGAGGUUAAGCACACAAUUUAAUUGUUAGUAAUAUAUUUGGAUUAAAAGUGUUUAUAAACUCUCAAAAUCACAGAGCAUAUGUAACUUACUACUCACUGGACAUGUUACAUAGAACUUACCAAAGGAACUAAUUAAUUAAUAUACUUGCUUAGGACAUAUAGUAGAUAAUGCAAAACAAAUGAAGUGACAGAGAGAGUAAGAAGAGAGAAAUUAAGCAAAAUAAUGGUUGAGAACUCACUUAUGACAUCUACCGUGGUUUUCCCAUUAGAAAACCUUCCCGUUGGUCCGCGGGGAAAAUCAAUUCCAUAAGGCAAGUAAUUAGCUUUAGCCAAGGAGUUGAGGUUGUUGUUGUUACCAUUGUCCACUAGGGAAUCACCAAAAAUGAAGUAACAUGGGACUUGGGGUUGUGCCAAUACCCCAUUCUCAACAUUCAGCAGCAGCACCAACACCGCUACAAACACCAAGGACAACUUCUUGCAUUCACCCCUCAUUAUUGCACAAAUUUGUGAGGAAAUUUUUUUCAAAAGGGUUUCAAGGAAUUUUGCAGAAAAUAGUGCUAAGUCCUUAAUUCCUAGGACAGUUCACAGGCUUUGUGGCUGAGUGAUGAGCUUGCCAGCGUGAAUUGUGCUAUAUAUAUAUACACACACACACCAAUUGGAAUUGGAAGAAGAUAAGAGUGGGACAAACAAAUAAAAAGGGGUGCACCAAUUGAUAUGGGAGUCAUUGGUUCAGAAAUUGACUUCAUGGAUGAGAAGGCAGUGAAGGUUGCAUUUAAUUCACGCGGAUACAGUAUGAGGUUCCUUAUAUUGAUGUCUAAACUUUGUUGUCUUUCUAAACUGUGAAAACAAAUCGAAAUGCCUGCAAAGCCAUUGUGAUCUGAUUGCUACGCACCAAAUUGUAGGAGUACAAAGAUUAAGUCUACUGGGCAUUUAAAAAAAAGUGAAAUGAGAUGAAUCUGCAUGGAUAUAUCUCAAUCCGAACUUAAUCUCCAUCCAAAUUUUGAAGGUCUGAUCUCAAGUUUUCAUGCAAAGAGAAUAUUUGCAUUAAAACAAGGUCUAAGUACGUGAAAGACUGAAGAUAAGUGGAGCUUUGGAAGAAAAUAACACUUACUGGUUUAAAUGAUUAUUCCCGAUUUUGAGCAACUUUAGCGGUAUAGGUUGUAUAGCUAAUGUUUUCGAAUACUCCAGAUGUAAUUCGUUUUCUUAAAACGUCGGAAACAAUGUCCUUGCUUGGUUUUCUGUUCCUUUUUCUUUUUUCACCAUUUUAAAACAAGAAAUUAUGUAGUGGACAAACUUCUUCUCCCUUUUCCCUACAAGUAAUAAAAAUUAUUUUACAGAAUAUGGUAAGAUCCAAAAAAAAAAAAAAAAGAUAUGCCAAGAUCAGAUUAAUCAAGACAUUUUUUCCCAAAAAUUUUUUAUAUUUUUCGUAAAUAUAUUUCUCAAUCACUUUUUUAUUUCACAUACAUCAAAUUAUUAUUACAGUAUAUUUUUCUAUCAAAACUCCAACAAAGAGCAAUCCAAAUGGAUAUCCUAAAAUGCAUGGUUGACCAUAUGAACAGAUAUCAAAUUAGGAAAAUAGCCACAUAUAUUUUGACUCGGCCUUUAACAUCAAUUAGAGAUAACAAGCGGUUGGCUAGUUCAACGUCGUUGAAAGCAUGCAAUUGGUUUCGUACUUUCGUUUCUGAAGAUGACUUCUGUCAAUUUGACAUUUUAGUCCAGUGUAUGGGAAAGUCGUGUAUAGCUAUGAAGGGAUUAGAAGAAUUAUGUAAAAAAAUAAAAAAAAAUAAAUAAACCACUGAGAACUAAACCAUAAUUAAUCCUUUUAAUGCACGGUCAGCAAUUUAACUGAAAAUGCAUAGGUUACUUCACCUCGAUUUGUACAGGAUAUAUCAUCCAAAUAUGAUUAUUUUUGGUCACUUUACCUAAGCACAUAGGUUAAAAAUAGUGCAUUAACUUUCCCACAAAAAGAAAAGAAAAAAAACCCGUAGUUCACUUACCGACCAUGUAUGUGUGCUUUUUUUUUUCCAGAAUUGACUACAAUUAUUAUUAGUUUGAACAUUCUGGAAGUGAACUCCCUCGAGAAUAAUGCAUUUUAGCCUCGGUCAAUAACCGUUUACUACUUUGCGGAGCAUGUAAAAAAGAAAAAAAAAAAAGAGGAUACAUACUUGAAAGGAUUUUUUCUAAUGUUACUCGGACUUGUGCCUAUUAGUACACCUAAAUGAUACGUUAUUUAUUAUUAUAUAAAUACACACACUAAUAUUUAUUACGCUCCUAUAUUUAAAUACUUUACUAAAUUAACUUCACUUUUGUGGAAGAAUUACUAUGUGAGAAAUCUCUUGAUAAGAUUCUGCCGACAUCGGUUUGCCAAACCCUACUUGAAAUUCCUUCCAAAAAAAAAAAACAAUCCUACUUGAAAUAGGAUUCCAUACUAAUCCAUUUCAUAAAUGACAUGGUGGCUCCACAAAUCCUUUUCCUAACUGUAUGUUAAUUAAGGUGAUAUGUAAACAUGCAUGUGAUACCUUUAAUCAUGCGUCUUCUGGGAUCAACUGAACAGUUUCAACUCCAAGAAAGUGAUCACUUCCAGAUGAAUAAGGCACAAUUUGGUGAAGAUUGAAAGGUUCAACUUUAACUUUAGUAGUUGUGGACUCGGCAGUCCAUUUCUUUACUAAUAAUGCUCUUGUGGAAGCCAUCACAAGUUCACAACAUUAAUUUCUGAAAGAGAUAUGCUAUAAUUAUAUGAAAUGAAAAAAAAAUAAUGACUCCAUUUAUUGCGUGGACAGAGUCUUACGAAGUAACGUGGGUCGGCAAAAGCUUAUAAUAAAUCACGAGCUGCAAUCAAUACGUUUCCAUCACCAUUACUCGGAGUUGUUAAGGGUAUUAAAUUAACAAUUUUCAGAAGAAUAAUGAUACACAAUUAGAAAAUUCUCAAUUCAUCUUAUCUUGGAUAUAUAACGUUCUAACGUGAAUAUAAAGCCUACAAAUUUAUAAGAUAUCUAGAUUUAAAAGGUAUUUCUGCCCCUAUGCAUUAUUAGUAAAGAUUUCCGCGAUUAGAGUUUCAAAAUUCUAACUGUAUAUUACCAUUCUUCUUAGAAAAAAAAAAAAUAGAGAGAGAGAAAAGAAAAGCUGCCAUUAUAUGGUGUGCCGUUGGGCUUGAUCUUAUCAUUUUAUUUCCCUACAAAAGUAAAAAAAAAAUUAAAAAAAAAGGCCAUAUAUCUUACCUCCAUCGUCUCCAUCAAAUGUAGAAACAAGUUCGAUUUGACAGUUUAUUAAGCUAGAAAAAGGGCAUCUGUGCAACAUGGGAUCUUUAGAUAUUCUGGAUUAAAGUGUUUGGAAGUUAAAAUUUGUCAUACAUCAAAACCUUUUAAUGAAAUUUAUAGAAGUGUAUCUGCCAAUUAAAAUUUAACCAAUUAAAAGAAAAAUGGUGUUGCAUCUUGGUCAUAAAUUGGGUAUGGCAAGUUUCCCCAUACAUCCAUUAGAAAAAAUCCUCAACCACUUUUUCAUUAGUUUUAAGUACUUUUAUUCAUAUUUAAGUAUGUUAAAUAUAAAAUUUCCCUAGCCUGACAUUGUGUAAUGUCAACUACCAUUUUGAGUUCCCUGUUGCCUUAGUCGUUCUGUCUACAAGAUUGUGUAAUGUCAACCCUGAGAUUAGUCAAUUCUGAAAUUGUGAAGCAGUCUUACCCUCUCUAGAAGCUUAUUUUAGGAUUAUAAAUUUCCUGUUUCCUUUUUUUUUUUCCCCUUUUGUUUAUAGGUUGCCAUUUUACUUUUUGAGUGUUUCCAGUAUUUAUAUAAAUAUAAACUUCAACUAUGUGAAAGCCAACAUCAGGUUUCAUGUUCUUUUCGGAUAAACUACACUCUAAUCCUAUACUUCUCUUUUCUAAUCUUAAUGUCAUUAUAACUUAUAGGGCUACCCAAAACUAUUCGUGUUUAGCAUUUUGCCCGUAAACUAUGAAGUACAGGACUAUGAUACCUUCAACAUACAAUUGCUUUGCAAAGUAGUGCAACAAUGUAAUUUGGCUAGAAAUCAAAUUUAGCUGUCCUUUUAUUAGUAAAAGACAAUUUUUUCCUCUGAUUAUUGUUUUCUAGUGAGAGAUAAAUAUCAAACAAGAUUUUAAAAAAAAAAAAAUUCAGCACUUGAACGGCUACUUUAAAAAGCCAAUGAUUGCAAUUUUAUUUAAUUAAAGAGCUUAUUAUCUUUUUAAUUGUGAAAGGCUAACUAAUUUCCCGCACAAAAUUUUUGUUGUUGAUCUAUGUGAUGAUGUAUUAUAAAGUUCUGAACUACUAUGUUUUUAUUGCAAAUAGUUUAGGGGUGUAAAUUACAGUUAACCCUAAUUUUAUAAGACGUUCUCAUUUUUUCAGGCUGCAAUAGCAACAUCUUUUAAUUUCUAGUAGAAAAUUUAGUAAUUUCUUUAAAAAAAAAAAGUUUACAACUUUAUUGGCCACAGCUCAUGAAUAGUUGGAUCAGACUGAGAAUUGGCAUCUAGAAUUGGUAUUCCAACUUCUGAUGCAUUCACCUUUCAACCCUUGUCCUAAUAACAUCAACCAAAACACAUGAUCGAAUCCCGUUACUAUACAUCAAUGUUUAUUACGAAAAGAUCAGCUGAAGCAAACUUGUAUUUGUUACAACGAAUUAAAUUGAAAGAAGAAUUCUCACAAUUUAAUCCAUGAAGCAAAAUCCUAAUUAGUAAAUUACAAAAUUAAUCGAGUCAAAUAAAUUGCAAAAUUACAAAUAAGAAUAAUUGCAAAAACUGAACCGUUUUUUGUCCUUGCUGCUACGAUCUUUAUAGUACUGAAUUUUUAGAUUACGUAUGAGAACAGAAUAUAGUUGAUGAUGGAUGACUGUGUAAUAAAAACGGCAGUAUAUUUUUUAGACCAACGUAAUUUGGUUGCCGACCAGUUUGGUCGUGUAACAUUUUUAACAGAUUUGGACAACAGAAACCUAACUACAUGGAGUAUUUGUCAAUAAUAUUAUGUCCUCGUCAAUUAAUCAAAAUUAGAAACCUACUAAGUGGAAUUACCAAAUGAAUAAAAUUGAAAUUAAACACAAGAUUACAAGGGAACAAAUUGAUCCCAAAUUUAGUGCGGAAGGUAUGAAAUAAGGAUCAUCCAUAAUGAACAUUAGGAGAAUAAGAUAAACUUGGAUGGGCAAUAACUCUUGUGAUGCAACCACAAAGUUUAUAGUUUGACCUGUAUUUUUCAGUUUAAAAAUGGAACUAUUACGUGUGGACGGCUACGAGGAGUCUUGUCCUAACAGCUAUAUCUUGCACCGACAUAAAUAAAUGGAGUUGUAGCAAAUAUAGGGAAUAUGCUCCAUAAAUUCUUGGUAAGUUUCAUUCACAACCAUACUAGUAUUAGAAUGCAUUGUUAUAUUUCUUAGUGUCUAUCUAACGGACGCUCAUUGAACACUCUUUAAAAUAUAUUUCAAGUGUUCAAUUUUUUUUUUUUUAAAAAAAGUGAAUUUUAUUAUAGAAAGUAUAUAAAUAUAAAAAAAUUAUUAUUAUUAGUAUGUGUAUAUACAUAGUAAAUUUGGUGUGAUUCGGAUGCGUGAACGAGUAUUUAUUAGACAUCCGUUAAAAAAAUUAUUUUUUAUACAAGUCUAUGAGUCAAAUCGAAAUAUGUGGAGCAUUUAUUGUACAAAGUGCUGCCAACUUGACAUGGAUAAAUGAAAGAUAAAAUUGAUAAGAUGAGUUAUCACACUAUUGUAUCAUUUAUGGAGCAUUUCCUUUUUCUUGAAGCUGGUAGAAUUAAAUUUGAGUAGUUGAAGUAAAACACUAGCAAAAACUCCGACGGAACUAGUCAACUACAAAAAUGAGUUGACUCAACGUUGAGUCAAAAUGGAUGCUAGGUCCCUUAUGGGGCAAGAUUUUUUUUUAUUUUUUUUUCCAAGAAAAACCUUUUGCUGCUCAAUUUUACGCCGCAAUAGUCAAUGGCCAAUUUGGACUGCUAAUCGAACUAAGCAAUUGCACCGACCUCGAAUCGUACAGUUCAUGCGGUUGCUCCUUUGUUAUUGGAAUUAUCCAAUUUUCAGUUGUCUUCACACGAUGGAACUCCUCCCUCCGUACCAAAUUGGGAGUUCAACUAUUGCCUACUGUAAAUCCUUGUGGUUUGGAUUCUCUCCCAUGGCUUAGUUGGGUCUUUUCCUUCCCUCAUAAUCACAAAAAGUACGCUAAUAUUAUUUGCAAUUUGACACAAAAAAUUUUGAGCAAUUUACAAUCCAUGUUACAAUCUAAAGGUGGUGAUAUAAGUAAUAACAAUGACCUUGCACGUAGAUCCUUGUACCACAUCAGUUCUUUCAAUUUUGCGGCUAAUUUGGUGUGGAGUACAGUGACAUCCUUUGCUUGCUAUCGAUAAUAAAGACUGACAAAUCUAACAGAAUAAGAAUAAAAGCAGAGAAUGACAACUAAUAUAUCUGAAUUUGAGAUGGAUUCUGAAGAAAGGUUUUGUAUUUAAAGCUUAUACAACAUCCCUGCCUGAAAAAACAAUUUUGCACAUAGUGCAUUAGGAAAAUGUAAUGGUGGGCACAAUUUACUAGUCGUCUGGUACAUAUGGUCCAAAUAAAGAGAAUUUACAGCCUUAGACUUGGAUAUUUCAAGGCCCUUCUUGUUUCCUUGUCUUUGCUCCUCUCUGAACAUGAGCAUAUUUUAAAGCAAACUCGAUUUUAUAACUUAAGCAUAUUGAGAAAAGACGUUUAAAGAAUGCAAAGACUAGCUUAACUGAAUUCCAGCCUGUAUAUCUAGUCUAUUCCAAAUGAGCCUAAUCAGGCUUAGCUCUUUUUAUACACAAUCUAAGAAUAACGUAUACGCUUGAAUGAAACACUUGUAGUUUUUCUGUUUUACUCACAAAACCUUUGUUUUUUGUAGGGUUUGAUGAUCGAGUAGUAAUUUGGAGCUAAAUGGAAGAAGUUUGAAGAAACCUUGAAGCGCUCGAGAAGUCACUAGUGUUCGUGGAAGCAGUUGCACAACAAGAGGAAAAGUGUUAAAGAGUUUGCUCAUGAAAAUUGUUAGAAUCCUGCCAUGGAUUGUUGGAAUGGAUUCAAUCCGUCCAUGGAUUGCAGUGGUAGAAGACUGGAUUCCAUCAGUGAAUUGAAGGUAGAGAGCAAACCAAAUGAGCAAGAAACAAGAUAGAAGAAUCCGGCUAUGGAUUGUUUCCAGGUGAGCCAGAUUUCAUGCAUAGAUUUAAGAAUGUUCAAAGCAGAGUUAGAAGAAUCUGGGGGAAAAAUUCAUUUUUCAUCCUCAAACUUUGUGACUAAGACACAUUUGGUCCCCAAACUUUUUGACUAGACACAUUGAGUACAUGUAUUAACUAUUUUUUGCCACAUUUAGUCAAAAAACGGGAAAAUUUUCAAUUUGGACGGUGAAACCCACGUGGCCGUUAACUUAUGCGUCGGGAAUCAAUGCAAGUCAAACUAAAGUCCACACAUUCUCUCUCUAAUGCAAGUCGACACAAAUAGUGGAGUUUUGGUGUUUAAAUCAGUCAACUACAAUAUCAGUUCCUCUUCAAUCAGCAAAAAUUCACUAUUUCUCCGACAUCCACCCUGUAGUUCGCAAAAAGGGAAUUGAGGAGAUGAUAACGAAUUUCCCUGUUGUUCCCAAACAGGGAACUGAGAGAAUUAAGGUGAUGAUCUCGACCAGUUUGUAGGAUGAUAUUCCAAAUAAAUUCAAGAAAGAUAUACCAUGCCUUAGGCUACACCUACUAAACUUGCCGAGUUUGCUACGGAGUGACCCAGUUAAAAUGCGUUCUUGCAAGCUUGACUAACUAAUGGUCCGCCACACAGAAGUAAUAGCAAAUAACAACAUGAUUUUUUAUCUUCACAAGCACCAUAACUAAUAACAGAAAUGAAAAUAGUCACAAAAUCAGCAGGGACUAAUCCUGUUUGUUGUCUUCUGAUGGGUUAGCCAGAAUAUAAGUCAGAUCAAGAGAAUAUUGUGUUGCUCUAAUUACCUGGAUCUCCCAAGGAAAAAACUUAUCAAUCUCACAAAGAGGGGCCAGAGUUCAGUUUUUGCAGUAGAAAAGAUGUUGUUAGU